GACGAACGCUGGCGGCGUGCUUAACACAUGCAAGUCGAACGGAAAGGCCCUGCUUUUGUGGGGUGCUCGAGUGGCGAACGGGUGUGUAACACGUGAGUAACCUGCCCUUGACUUUGGGAUAACUUCAGGAAACUGGGGCUAAUACCGGAUAGGAGCUCCUUCUGCAUGGUGGUGGUUGGAAAGUUUCGGCGGUUGGGGAUGGACUCGCGGCUUAUCGGCUUGUUGGUGGGGUAGUGGCUUACCAAGGCGUUGACGGGUAGCCGGCCUGAGGGGGUGACCGGCAACAUUGGGACUGGGAUAGGGCCCGGACUCCUACGGGAGGAAGCAGUGGGGAAUAUUGCACAAUGGGCGGAAGCCUGAUGAGGCAACGCCGGGUGGGGAAUGACGGCUUUCGGGUGGAAAACCGCUUUGGCCUGUGACGAAGCGUGAGUGACGGUAAUGGGUAAAGAAGCACCGGCUAACUACGUG
rnacentral:rRNA from 1 species